rnacentral:rRNA from 1 species
GCAGCACGGGAGCAAUCCUGGUGGCGAGUGGCGAACGGGUGAGUAAUAUAUCGGAACGUGCCCAGUCGUGGGGGAUAACGCAGCGAAAGCUGUGCUAACACCGCAUACGAUCUAUGGAUGAAAGCGGGGGAUCGCAAGACCUCGCGCGAUUGGAGCGGCCGAUAUCAGAUUAGCUAGUUGGUGGGGUAAAAGCCCACCAAGGCGACGAUCUGUAGCUGGUCUGAGAGGACGACCAGCCACACUGGAACUGAGACACGGUCCAGACUCCUACGGGAGGCAGCAGUGGGGAAUUUUGGGCAAUGGGCGCAAGCCUGAUCCAGCAAUGCCGCGUGCAGGAUGAAGGCCUUCGGGUUGUAAACUGCUUUUGUACGGAGCGAAACGGUCUUUUCUAAUAAAGAAGGCUAAUGACGGUACCGUAAGAAUAAGCACCGGCUAACUACGUGCCAGCAGCCGCGGUAAUACGUAGGGUGCGAGCGUUAAUCGGAAUUACUGGGCGUAAAGCGUGCGCAGGCGGUUAUAUAAGACAGAUGUGAAAUCCCCGGGCUCAACCUGGGACCUGCAUUUGUGACUGUAUAGCUAGAGUACGGUAGAGGGGGAUGGAAUUCCGCGUGUAGCAGUGAAAUGCGUAGAUAUGCGGAGGAACACCGAUGGCGAAGGCAAUCCCCUGGACCUGUACUGACGCUCAUGCACGAAAGCGUGGGGAGCAAACAGGAUUAGAUACCCUGGUAGUCCACGCCCUAAACGAUGUCAACUGGUUGUUGGGUCUUCACUGACUCAGUAACGAAGCUAACGCGUGAAGUUGNNCGCCUGGGGANUACGGCCGCAAGGUUGAAACUCAAAGGAAUUGACGGGGNNCCGCACAAGCGGUGGNUGAUGUGGUUUAAUUCNAUGCAACGCGAAAAACCUUACCCACCUUUGACAUGUACNGAACUCNC